UACGGAGGAUGCGAGCGUUAUCCGGAUUUAUUGGGUUUAAAGGGUGCGUAGGCGGGCCUUUAGGUCAGCGGUAAAAAUUCGGGGCUCAACCCCGUCCGGCCGUUGAAACUGGGGGUCUUGAGUGGGCGAGAAGAAGGCGGAAUGCGUGGUGUAGCGGUGAAAUGCAUAGAUAUCACGCAGAACCCCGAUUGCGAAGGCAGCCUUCCGGCGCCCUACUGACGCUGAGGCACGAAAGUGCGGGGAUCGAACAGG
rnacentral:rRNA from 1 species